GCGGAUGUGGCGGAACUGGCAGACGCGCAUGGUUCAGGUCCAUGUUCUCGCAAGGGAGUGGAGGUUCAAGUCCUCUCAUCCGCACCA
rnacentral:tRNA from 1 species